GUGGGGAAUUUUGGACAAUGGGCGCAAGCCUGAUCCAGCAAUGCCGCGUGCAGGAUGAAGGCCUUCGGGUUGUAAACUGCUUUUGUACGGAACGAAAAGCCCUGGGUUAAUACCCUGGGGUCAUGACGGUACCGUAAGAAUAAGCACCGGCUAACUACGUGCCAGCAGCCGCGGUAAUACGUAGGGUGCGAGCGUUAAUCGGAAUUACUGGGCGUAAAGCGUGCGCAGGCGGUUUUGUAAGACAGAGGUGACAUCCCCGGGCUCAACCUGGGAACUGCCUUUGUGACUGCAAGGCUAGAGUACGGCAGAGGGGGAUGGAAUUCCGCGUGUAGCAGUGAAAUGCGUAGAUAUGCGGAGGAACACCGAUGGCGAAGGCAAUCCCCUGGGCCUGUACUGACGCUCAUGCACGAAAGCGUGGGGAGCAAACAGGAUUAGAUACCCCAGUAGUCC
rnacentral:rRNA from 1 species